AAGUCUACAUAUAUGUAGACCUCCUACGAAGUCUACCCUAUAGACUUAUUAUGUAGUCUACACCAUAAUUUGAUCUAAUAAUUGAAUUUUUAAAAUGUAUACAAAAUAAUUGUUGUGAUAAUUUUAAUUAAUCAUCAAUAUAAUGGAUAAUAUGAAGUAAAUAAAUUAAAAUUUCAUAUAAUUGAACAAUUUAAAGAGUAUAUACUAAUUUGGUAACCAUGUGUUAGAUAAUGUUCAUGGUUUAGAAACAAAAGGUUCUAACAUGUUAGAUAAUGUAUCUCAGCUGAUAUAACUCUUUGUAUAUUCAUUCAGCAAACUUUGGGAUGCAUUAAUAGGGUUGUCCCUCAUUUUCUUGAUCACAAGCAUAUGGGAUGUGCUUGAUUCUAAGCUGCUCAAAGGCUGUAUAUUAUGAUCGCAGGACUGAAAUACUGGUGCGAAGAGCUUUUUUUUUUAUGAAUUCACAUGGUUAACAGCCAUCAUGUGGGUAAGAAGAAAAAAAUGUGUCUGCUAGGCCUCUUCUAUUUACGUAUAUGGGUGCUACUUUGACUUUCUAGAUCAAUAUUCUCUAAAUAUGUGUGUUUAAUGUAUUUUUAUAUAUAAA